rnacentral:sRNA from 1 species
UUCUACCCUGCGCAGCGCGUGAGCGAUGGUAACGGUUAUCCUUUUUUUGAUUGGGCUUAUGGGAAAGGCAAAAAAGAUAAUAGUGGACAGCGCGGUCCCAG